GGUGAAGAACGCAGCGAAAUGCGAUAAGUAAUGUGAAUUGCAGAAUUCAGUGAAUCAUCGAAUCUUUGAACGCACCUUGCACUCCUUGGUAUUCCGAGGAGUACGCCUGUUCGAGUGUUAUGAAGCUCUCAAAACGCAAUUGGCUUAAAACCUGAUUGUUGUUUUGGAUUUGAACUUUGCCGUGUUAUAACGGCUGGUUUUAAAAGUAUUAGCUGGUACUAGAACGAAUUGGUUCUACUCAACGUGAUAAUUAUCUGAUCGUUGAUGACAUUCCUUUCACGAGGAAUGGCCAUAGUAAAUUCAAUGGACUGCUUCUAAUCUGGCUUUAAUUCUUUAUUGGAUUAACCACUUUUCAAAUCUGACCUCGAAUCAGGUGGGACUACCCGCUGAACUUAAGCAUAUCAAUAAGCGGAGGA
rnacentral:misc_RNA from 1 species